rnacentral:ribozyme from 1 species
AAGCAUGACUGGAAUACAGCAGAUGCAACAGCAAAAGCAAAUGCAGCGGCCUGGCAGUGCUAUGAAGAGCACCCAAGCAUCCA